rnacentral:lncRNA from 12 species
GUUGCUUUAAACAUUUCUGAUGCAUGGCAACUUGGCCAUUUUUGACAGGUACAGGUAAGGCUGAACUGCACCAACUGGCAAAAGGGUCCACCAACUUAAACUUAGAGCAAAACAAAAAGUGUGGUAUGAAAGAUGAUCCCUCAGCAGAAUAACACAUGAGAUUGUCCCAUAGCCAAACACCAGUGUGAUCAAGAUGACUGUGACGACUACAAAAGCCUUUCUCUUCUGUUGAUGUGCUCCUGCUUUCUCUCUGUCCCCUGGCUUGGGCCUCUUCAAAACCCACAAAAUCAUCAGAGAACAAAACGAACACACAAAUAACGUCACAACGACCAAUCCCGUGCAAAACAACGUAAUCAUUUUAGGGUAGGAACUCACAAAAUGCCAUCCAAAAAUCAUGAUUAUCAGCUAGACCAGUCCAACAAAUGUCACUUUACUUUUAGUAUCUUUUGUGUAUUUCAGGUAAACCAGUGGAUGGACCACAGCCAGGUAUCGCUCCACACAGAAAAAGGCUUGAAAGAGCGGUCGACCCACCAUGAAUGUACUGCUCAGGAAAAUACAGCCACAGAAUCCAGCAGUUCACAGGCAGCAUAAGAACACAGUUCAACAGUGAGAUGAAGCCAGUGAAAACGUUUCCUGGAUAGGAGUCCAUGCACUCAUAAAACGGUUCACCAGAACAGUUGCUUCCAGAUUGAAAGGUUCCCAUCAAAUUGGAUAAACAAUCAACGGUGCUGUUUACUCCCAUAUUCAGCUAGAUUUUCUUUUAUUUUCUAUAUCAAAUAAGGCCGGGUAAAAUAAUUCCAUACAUAUUUUGUACAAGCAAGUGUUAUGGAGCUACAAGACAGGAUUAUGUGCAAACAACACAGAUCUUUAUUCAAGGAAUGCAGGUGAGUAGCAAUGGGCAAGAGCAAUAGAGCAAGGCAAUACUGGAGAAUAAUGAGCUUAACCGUAGUUGCUGGUGGAGAUCAUGAAUCCGAUGGAAUGAACACACUUCUUAGUAUUGGACACUUGAAUGAUUAGACAAACGAUGGAGGGUUGUGGAGACAGGGGAAACACGAGUAUAUCGCAGGAGAAGAUCACUGGAGUAAUCGCAGAAGGCCAGUAGACAGGUAAGCAGUCCGUAUACUAACGAGUAGUGAGAAGUGUGUGCUUAUAUGCUGGAGAUGAUGAGGCUGCUGACAUGGUGCAGGUGCAGGCAAUAAUCAAGGAACUGUGAGCAGAGUGAGGGAGAACACUGACAGGGGA